GAUGAACGCUGGCGGCGCGCCUAACACAUGCAAGUCGAACGGCACCCCUCUCCGGAGGGAAGCGAGUGGCGAACGGCUGAGUAACACGUGGAGAACCUGCCUCCUCCCCCGGGAUAGCCGCCCGAAAGGACGGGUAAUACCGGAUACCCCCGGGCGCCGCAUGGCGCCCGGGCUAAAGCCCCGACGGGAGGGGAUGGCUCCGCGGCCCAUCAGGUAGACGGCGGGGUGACGGCCCACCGUGCCGACAACGGGUAGCCGGGUUGAGAGACCGACCGGCCAGAUUGGGACUGAGACACGGCCCAGACUCCUACGGGAGGCAGCAGUGGGGAAUCUUGCGCAAUGGGGGGAACCCUGACGCAGCGACGCCGCGUGCGGGACGGAGGCCUUCGGGUCGUAAACCGCUUUCAGCAGGGAAGAGUCAAGACUGUACCUGCAGAAGAAGCCCCGGCUAACUACGUGCCAGCAGCCGCGGUAAUACGUAGGGGGCGAGCGUUAUCCGGAUUCAUUGGGCGUAAAGCGCGCGUAGGCGGCCCGGCAGGCCGGGGGUCGAAGCGGGGGGCUCAACCCCCCGAAGCCCCCGGAACCUCCGCGGCUUGGGUCCGGUAGGGGAGGGUGGAACACCCGGUGUAGCGGUGGAAUGCGCAGAUAUCGGGUGGAACACCGGUGGCGAAGGCGGCCCUCUGGGCCGAGACCGACGCUGAGGCGCGAAAGCUGGGGGAGCGAACAGGAUUAGAUACCCUGGUAGUCCCAGCCGU
rnacentral:rRNA from 1 species